rnacentral:rRNA from 1 species
GGGACCAUCCUCCAAGGCUAAAUACUCCUGACUGACCGAUAGUGAACCAGUACCGUGAGGGAAAGGCGAAAAGAACCCCUGUGAGGGGAGUGAAAUAGAUCCUGAAACCGCAUGCAUACAAGCAGUGGGAGCACCUUCGUGGUGUGACUGCGUACCUUUUGUAUAAUGGGUCAGCGACUUAUAUUCAGUAGCAAGGUUAACCGUAUAGGGGAGCCGUAGAGAAAUCGAGUCUUAAUAGGGCGUUUAGUUGCUGGGUAUAGACCCGAAACCAGGCGAUCUAUCCAUGAGCAGGUUGAAGGUUGGGUAACACUAACUGGAGGACCGAACCCACUGUCGUUGAAAAGCCAGGGGAUGACUUGUGGAUAGGGGUGAAAGGCUAAUCAAGCCUGGUGAUAGCUGGUUCUCCCCGAAAGCUAUUUAGGUAGCGCCUCGGACGAAUACCAUAGGGGGUAGAGCACUGUUUCGGCUAGGGGGUCAUCCCGACUUACCAAACCGAUGCAAACUCCGAAUACCUAUGAGUACUAUCCGGGAGACAGACUGCGGGUGCUAACGUCCGUAGUCAAGAGGAAAACAAUCCAGACCGCCAGCUAAGGCCCCAAAAUCAUAGUUAAGUGGGAAACGAUGUGGGAAGGCAUAGACAGCUAGGAGGUUGGCUUAGAAGCAGCCACCCUUUAAAGAAAGCGUAAUAGCUCACUAGUCGAGUCGGCCUGCGCGGAAGAUGUAACGGGGCUAAAACUAUGUGCCGAAGCUGCGGAUGUAUACUUUGUAUACGUGGUAGGGGAGCGUUCUGUAAGCCGAUGAAGGUGUGUUGAGAAGCAUGCUGGAGGUAUCAGAAGUGCGAAUGCUGACGUGAGUAACGACAAAACGGGUGAAAAACCCGUUCGCCGAAAGACCAAGGGUUCCAGUCCAACGUUAAUCGGGGCUGGGUGAGUCGACCCCUAAGGCGAGGCCGAAAGGCGUAGUCGAUGGGAAAAUGGUUAAUAUUCCAUUACUUCUGUGUAAUGCGAUGAGAGGACGGAGAAGGCUAAAUCAGCCUGGCGUUGGUUGUCCAGGUGAAAGGAUGUAGGCAUGUAUCUUAGGCAAAUCCGGGGUACUCUAUGCUGAGAUCUGAUAGCAAGCUGUACUUGUACAGCGAAGUGGUUGAUGCCAUGCUUCCAGGAAAAGUCUCUAAGCUUCAGUUACACAGGAAUCGUACCCGAAACCGACACAGGUGGUCAGGUCGAGUAGACCAAGGCGCUUGAGAGAACUCUGCUGAAGGAACUAGGCAAAAUGGUACCGUAACUUCGGGAGAAGGUACGCUGUUGUUGGUGAUGGAACUCGCUUCCUGAGCUGACGACAGCCGCAGAAACCAGGCCGCUGCAACUGUUUAUUAAAAACAUAGCACUCUGCAAACACGAAAGUGGACGUAUAGGGUGUGAUGCCUGCCCGGUGCUGGAAGGUUAAUUGAUGGGGUUAGCGUAAGCGAAGCUCUUGAUCGAAGCCCCAGUAAACGGCGGCCGUAACUAUAACGGUCCUAAGGUAGCGAAAUUCCUUGUCGGGUAAGUUCCGACCUGCACGAAUGGCAUAAUGAUGGCGGCGCUGUCUCCAGCAGAGGCUCAGUGAAAUCGAAAUCGCUGUGAAGAUGCAGUGUACCCGCGGCUAGACGGAAAGACCCCGUGAACCUUUACUGCAGCUUGACACUGAACUUUGACCUUACUUGUGUAGGAUAGGUGGGAGGCUUUGAAGCUGGAACGCUAGUUCCAGUGGAGCCGUCCUUGAAAUACCACCCUGGUAAUGUUGAGGUUCUAACUCUGUCCCGUGAUCCGGGACGAGGACCGUGUCUGGUGGGUAGUUUGACUGGGGCGGUCUCCUCCUAAAGAGUAACGGAGGAGUACGAAGGUGCGCUCAGCGUGGUCGGAAAUCACGCGUAGAGUAUAAAGGCAAAAGCGCGCUUAACUGCGAGACCCACAAGUCGAGCAGGUACGAAAGUAGGUCUUAGUGAUCCGGUGGUUCUGUAUGGAAGGGCCAUCGCUCAACGGAUAAAAGGUACUCUGGGGAUAACAGGCUGAUACCGCCCAAGAGUUCAUAUCGACGGCGGUGUUUGGCACCUCGAUGUCGGCUCAUCUCAUCCUGGGGCUGAAGCAGGUCCCAAGGGUAUGGCUGUUCGCCAUUUAAAGAGGUACGCGAGCUGGGUUUAGAACGUCGUGAGACAGUUCGGUCCCUAUCUACCGUGGGCGCUGGAAAUUUGAGAGGAUCUGCUCCUAGUACGAGAGGACCAGAGUGGACGAACCUCUGGUGUACCGGUUGUGACGCCAGUCGCAUCGCCGGGUAGCUAUGUUCGGAAGGGAUAACCGCUGAAAGCAUCUAAGCGGGAAGCCUACCUCAAGAUAAGAUUUCCCUAGGACUUUAUGUCCUCUAAAGAGCCGUUCGAGACUAGGACGUUGAUAGGUUGGAUGUGGAAGCAUAGUGAUAUGUGAAGCUGACCAAUACUAAUUGCUCGUGAGGCUUGACUAU